CCUGCUGGAGGUAUCUCUUGUAAAAUGACUCAAGAAAUGGACUAGCUUAUUUAGUUUCGUUCGCUGUAAUCUUUGCUGCUGCAUUAGAGAAGUUUGCAGUAGCAGUAAAGCCAGCGGAAAACUACAAGCCAUGAAGCAAGACUAGUGUCAGUCGUAAAAUCUAAGACAGACUCCUUAAACUCGGGCUUACAAAACUUUUACAUACAUAUGUAUAUAAUGAAACCAUAAAGCUAAAGUCGACAAGAGCAGGAGGUGCUUAGGCCUAAGCUGCAUGUUUUAUUUGAUGACGUCUUUAGUAAUCUGAUAGUA